GCACACACAUAACCAAAAGCAGCACGCAGCCCCAGGCCUGGCAUUUCAGCCUCUUUAAGGGAAUAACUCCUUUGGCACAGUGAGAGUGAGGAAGAGCCACAGGAAAAAUCAGAGACAGAUGGAUUUCAAGAUUGAGCCAGAUACAGCCACCCUGUCCAGGUGGAGACUCAAGGGACAGUGACACUUUUGAUCUCAGAUACUUGGCAUGCUCCCGCAAGCUGAAUCUGUGAACACAGAGCUUGUAAAGCUAUACUACAGAAGAAAAAAUUGUUAUCGGAGAAUGUUCUUCUGUUCCCGAGAACGCGGCAGGGCAUUCCGUCCGCCAGGGGCUAGAGGACUGCCUCCGAUCCCCCCUGGGAGGCGCGGCUGUCGUCCGUUAGAGGGUGGAGGUGUGGCUGAGGACCAAACUACGCCAUAUCUGAAAACUGGCGGGGACUCCUAUCCUGAGGUCACCAGAUCCAGCUCCAUUCCUGCUUCGUGUUGGACUCCACUGCUACGUGUCGCUGAGUGAUGAUGACUUAUAGCAGCCGUUGCCAUUACGAUGGACUUCAGAGGAUGAACUGAUGCCAACUCCAAGCAUAGAUAUUGGAAAUUUUAUAUGCUAUUGCCUGAACCUUGGACUUAGAUAAACCUCAACGAAAUUACUGGCCAGGUUGAACUGCGAUGCACCGCAUCAUUUAUCUCUUUGUCUAUUGAUGGACUACACUCUUGAAACGGAACACAUAGACAAUCAUUUAAUUGCCAACAAAACCCUUUAUCAGCCAACUAACAAGGACAAUUCAUCAAUGUGAACUUCUCCAGUUAAUCCUUGAUGCCCUUCAAAAGAUAUUAGUCAUUAAUCUUACAGUUCAUAUAAAAUCUUUACUUAAACACUGAUCCUUAACACUUACUUAGUUUAAUAAUUUUAAACCGUGACUUGCACUAUACAUAAGUAAUCUUGGCAUUAUAUUCAUGAUGUUAGCCAGAGGGGAACUGGCCCCCACAGUGAGCCUGGUUUAUCCCAAGGUUAUUUUUCUCCACUAACCAACAUCUUAUAGAGUUUUGUGUUCCUUGCCAAAGUCACCUUUGGAUUGCUCACUGAGGUUAUAAAUACAAUUAUUAUUUAAUAACUUGUUUUUAAACACAAGUCACAAUCGUAUUUUAUCAAACUAUAAAUCCGAUUUUUUCAGAUGCAUCUCAGUCCAGACACUCUGACUUCUUAAAUCGGAUGUCAAAUGGUCUUUUUACGCCACUCUUAACAACGAUUACAUAAUUAUAUAUAUAUAUAUAUAUAUUUUUUUUUUUUAUCGGUGAAGGAUAUGCCGGACGCAUUCAUAACGGCAAUGUACCCUUGCUCAUUCAAAAAUGUGCAUGCCACCUGUCAUCGUCAAAGUUCCCAAGGAAUACAUGUUCCCACCACUCAGUACUUUGCGGAAAACACCGCACCCCUCGCUGCACAGCGAAACCGGUCGUGACUGCAGCAUGGAACAUCAUAAUAUUUACUAGUCUCCGAGCUCAGUUUUUCUUGAGCGAUGGAGGAUUUCUGCACCGCGACAGGACAGGGCGCUUAUUUGGAGAGCGAGAUGAUGCACCUCCAUUUUUCCCGCAUCUGUUUUGAAAGCAUCGUCACGUGGGUACGCCCAGAGCCAUAUAGAGAGAGAGUUGCGACAACUCCAUUGACUCCAAUGGAACGUUUUUUUUACAGCAAUGGCGGCUCGUGGAGCCUCUCAAUAGUUCCCGGAAGUAGCAGCAAACACAUGCCGCGCCGUAGAGAUUAAGCAGAACAAACCGUUUGCGACGCACUUUUAAAAGGUGAGACGUUUAAAGAAUAAUAUUAUCUUAUUCUGUACAUUAUCAGUACGUCUAAAUAAAAAUAACUUGUAAAUUAAAACCUUAUAGUUGAGUAUUACUCAUUAAAUUAGGAGAUAAGGGAUGUUAUCGGAUAACUAACAGAUUAGGCAAGGAUUGGAGCUGGAUAAAGUUAGUAACGAACACCCUAUUAAUUGUCCAUCGUACUAAAAAAAAAAAGUAAUAUCGUAAUAUAUUAUUACAAUUUAAAAUAACUGUUUUCUAUUUUAAUGUAUUUUAAAAUGUCAUUUACUCCUGUGAUGCCAAGCUGAAUUUUCAGCCUCAUUACUUUUGAACGGCAGUUUAUAUACGAGUAUGCUAAGUUGUUUUAAAGCUGAAUAUAUUGUGUAUAUGAAUAAGUAUUGUAAGAAUUAUACAUUAGAUAUAUAAUAUUUAUAAUACAUAAAUAAUUAUAUUACUAUAUAUAGAAUUGUAAGAAUUGUAAACAAUAAGCUUCAUUUCACUAAAUUUUACAUUUACGUAACUGCUGCUAAUAGUUAAUAGUUCAUUGACCCAUUGUGCGGUGCGAGCUGGAAAUCACCUGUCACCAGCCUGUAUCUGAAAAGUCAUAAAUAUGACAUUAGUUACCAUGAGAUUAGUGAAAACAAUGAACAUGAGGUAACAUAAAAAGGCAACAGAAACCCUAGCCUGAAAUAAGUAGCUGAUUUGAUCUUUAAAAAAACAACAUCGCUGUAACAACAUACUCAUGCUACAUACAUACAUCGGUGUGUUACAUAAAUAUAUAAAAUAAAUGGAUUUAUUGACUACUAAUUACCAGAAAUCGCAGUUCUGUCACUCUACUCUAACAGUUUGAAAUGCCCGCCAAAGCACUUCCUGGAACUAUCUGAAGUUUACGUGAAUCACGUGAUGAUCAAGCAUUCAGAACUUCCGUUGUCGCAACUCUCUCUCUAUAUGGCUCUGGGUACGCCUACGUCAUUACCAAAGCAACCCAUGCAGAUAGGUUGGUUAUGUGUGAACACGCAAAUCUGAUUUGAUCACUUGCAAUUAAUAGUGCGGACAGUCUGCCUGAAAAGAUCUGAUUUGAGAAAAAAUCUGAUUUGCCUGCAGUCUGAACAUAAACUUAGACAUUAUAGAUAUUCCGGUUUCAUUUUCUGUUAAUGCAUAAUUUUCUAUAAAGCUGCUUUGAAACCAUGUGUUUUGUUAAAGGUGCUAUACAAAUAAAAAUGACUUGACCAGCUGAAAACAACCUGUUUCACAACUCGCUUUUGACACCCCUCCGUGGACAUUACACCCAGAAAAUGGAGCUCACACAAGCCCAUGCACCAACAACACUUACUGAAUUGGCCACUGGUGUCAGUGUUUCACAUUUCACUAUAGACAGCCACAGUCCCCAUUCCCUUUCAUUGUAUGGAAAAGAGCAUCCAGAACAUUCUCCAAAACAUCUCCUUUCGAGUUCAACAGAAGAAAGACAAUCAAACAGGUUUGAAAUAGCAUGUGGGUGUAAAUGAGAGCUUUCAUUGCUGGGUGAACUACUCUAAGAAAAUUGACAAGCCCACAUUUAAUCAGGUUUUAACACAAUACACACAUAAGAGGUCACCUGAUAGUGGAAUUUGCCGAUACCAAUAACUAAUGUGGUGGGAAAUGCAAAUAACUGAUUAAUCAGCUGAUAGUUUAUAAAA